CGCUCCUCGUAGGACUUGUUCUCCAGACCCCUCACCAGCUUCGUCGCCCUUCUCUGGACCCGCUCAAGCCCCUCGAUGUCCUUCUUGUAGCGAGGGGCCCAAAACUGAACACAGUACUCGAAGCUAUAGUAUCUCUUCAUCUAGUCUCCUGUCUUGCUCACUGUACUUGCUGAUACCUGCAGCACUGUGCCUUAUGUGUUCUUUAAUAUGUAAUGUGCAGUAAUUCCAAAAGCAUGCCUAUACCAGUAAUAAUUUAACUAGGUAAUGUUUGGUGCAUUACCUGCAGCACUUUCUGCUUUGCGCAGCAUCUCCUGGCUCCUGCUGAGUUUCCUGUGGCCCAUGUAACUUCCACUUGGGAAAGCAGAAUGCCCUGGUAGGGUUGCCAGAUCCCUCUGGUCACAGUCCCACCCUGCCGUACACACACAUCCCUUGUUUCUGGUGCAUCCUGUUUAUUCCCAGUCCCAGCUCUCUCUUCUGCCUCCUCUCUCCUUCCCCAUGGCCCUUCCUGUCCAGGGUAGUGGUUGAGUCGCCAUCCCUGGAGGUCUUCCAGAAGCAUGUAGAUGUAGACCUGGAGAGCAUGAAGCAUGUAGAUGUAGACCUGGUGGUGGGCUUGUCAGUGCUCGUUUAAAGGUUGGACUGGAUGGUCUUAGGGUCUUUUUGGACCGGAGUGACUCUAUGAUUCCUGCUCACGGUAGCCAGACCUUGGUUCAACAACCCCAGUCUUCUGCCAACUGAAAUCUUAAUGCAAGUGUUUAAACAAGUAAGGAAAUGGAGAGAAGCAAUACCAAGCGAAUAAUUUAUGGCAAGAAUUAGGACAAAGAGGAGAUGCCUGGCAGAUUUGUAAACUACAAUCUACUAGUUAUAUUUGAAUGGGGCUGUUUGGUUGUUCUCCUGAAGCCAUACGCAAGGCUGUAUAAACAUGAUUAAUGGUAGAGAGGGCCAGCAAGGACUAUUAAACACACAAGUCCAGGGUCAAACACUGGCUUAAGAAGCUUUCAACCACCGGUUGUCAAGAGACUAAAAGAGCGGAAGUAUCACUGUGGGUGCUUGCUACACGCUUUCCCUAAGGAUUUUCAGGUAGGUGAGCAGCGGCUCUGGUUCAUUAAGACUAGAUAUGUUCUCCCAAACACAUGCUAGCACACAAUUUCUGUAGUGUUGUGGCAACAUAUACGCUACUGCAAGUAAAAUAUGACAUGUGCUGCCAAAGAAAUCACAUUCUGAAAACAGUGCAGCACACUUAAUAUUGUUUAAAAUGUUUUUCCUGUAACAGGGGAAGACCUGCCCAUUUGCCUUUGUGCUUGUUAUUCCUUCUCAGGAGUGGAGCCUUCCUCCCUGAAAACUUACCAGUGUAUAAACAAGCAAUUAGGAAAACCUAACCUUUCUUAGUCAGUUGCAGUCAGAUACUUCAUCUUCUCAAAAUUGCAUUAUCAGCUUAAAGAUUAAAACAAAUGCCUUUAUUGUUUUCACCAACAAGAAAAUGCCUCUGUGCCACCAGAAUCAAAGUCAUUAGACAGUAUUUUUAAAGAAGCAAAGCUCCGCUGAUUCAUACCCAAAUUCAGUGGAAGUUAUGUUAAAAUACUGUCAGGCUGUUGCUUUGUUUUGCAGAAGGGAAAGUUGUUUUAGAGAGAGACAUUACAUAUGGGCCGUAUGCUGAUUGAACAGUUCUUCACACUUCUUUUUGAAUGUUAAACUGUUCUCACAGAACUAAUUUAAAGUGUAUAAAAAAAAGCUCCCUCUCUUUACCUGUUUUGCUAUUCUUCCAGGAACUGCAUCAAACUCCACUCACAGAUAUAGCUGAAUGCGCCUCACAUAAAUGUAAGAGACAUAUUCUACCAGACACCCAACUUCCUAAAGCACAGUGUAUUUUCCACAUUCCAGCAUACAUUCCAGGGGCCAUAUAGCUGUGUGAGUUUGUCUCCAGGAAAGUUCAGCCUCCAAAACACAAGAGACAAAUUCUGCUGGAGGAGUGGGUGGGAGAGGACAGGCAAGGAGGAGAAAGUUCAAGUGCUCCUGGGUGGGAGGUGGAACAGUACUGGAGGUAGAUCAGUCUGUUUUGGUCAAAACAACUGUUAUUACCACAUCUGGUUCUUUAAAUGCCUGUGGAAGUGUGUCUUGUGGGAGCUGCAUGGCUCAUGCUUAGAUUAAUGACUUGCUCCUCUGCUUGAUUCCAAUACAGGACUCUUCCCCCAUCUCCCAAGUGGAAGAGGAGUUGCAGUCUUUAACAGUCUCCCUGCGUGAUUCGUGAAUUUUCCAGAUGAUUCUCCUGAGUGGUGAGGACACUGAAAUGGGGGAAGCUGUGUAGAGGAUUAACUCUAUUUUACCAGAAUCUGUCUCUAACUUGCAAUGUGUAAAAUGACAAAUAUGUCUUUUAGAAUUCCUUCUGUAAUCUGGUCAUGUGCAGGACUUUGGUUAUUGCAUGUCCCUGAGGAGAGAAAGAGAAUGUCUGCUUAAAAUGUUGAAUGCUUUGUUAGUGAUUGCCAGCAUACUUGCAAAGUUGAAGCUCAUGUAAGGGGUGAGGUUGAGGAACACAGGCAUGAUAUGAGGGACCGUCCUCGCUCUGGCAGCUACACUAGCUGCAUCACAGAUCCUAUUUUUAUGAGGUAACAUGUGCCUAGGGAGUAUGCUUCAAAUCUGAAUAAUCCUGCUGUGGUCACAUAUAGCAAGUCUGUAACUCAGUAGCUCUGCCAUGUACCAAAAUAUCUAAUGUUAGGAAGUGCCAUUUCAGAAAUCUUGGUCUCAUUUCUCAAUGCUCUGUGCUAGAAAACAAACUCCAUGGGUGUGUGUAGUCCUGCAGUGCCUCUACAAUAGGAGGCUCUGGGGGCUGGGCUUGUGCUGGAAGAUUUUCCAUCUCUCUUUGUGCCUCCUGCUUCAUUCCAAGGGAGUGAGACAGAAAUGAGCCAGUGGAACUGUACAGCCGGGGGCAAGUAAUGAGCAGAUAUAGAAGCUCUGUGAUUCCAUGGGGGUAUCUGAAAAAUCCAGGGCUAGUUUUAACUAGCAUUUCUAGUGGCCAAUUUGAACCAAUUUUAUUCCACCAUGGUGCAGAGACAUGGUGCAUGGUACAAUAGUAGGAAAAUCCAUGCUGUACAUCUACUGAUGGUGUUUUUCUAUCACACCUCUAACUGCUGUAUCAUAGGAACACCCAUGGUACUGCUGAAACCUUGAAACAGCAAGGCACGAGUCUCUAUUUGUCAUCCUCUGUUCAUUAACACCAUAGCUCUUUACCAGUUGGGUUUUGGAGAACCUCUCAUCAUUAAGGCUGCUUCUGUGCGAACAGAUGGCUGCACUGUGUGACAUCCCAAGUGUCUGUUGGGACCUAGCACAGAUAAAUGGGUUUGCUCAGCCUGUUGGCCUGCACAUCUUGUAUUUACCUGGUACUAGGAGAAAGAACAAACAUAGGAAGCAGCCUGAAACCCUGCAGGCCAAGCCCUCCCAUGGCCAUAGGACCAGUGCCAUUAACACUGGCCCAUCUAUGUUUAGGUUUGGGGGUGAAUGUAUCUACCCUUUGAGAACCACAGCCGAAAGCUCUGCUGCAGAGGCCCUUGCAGAGUUAACGCAUAGCUCCACUGCUCCCUCAGCUCCACUGUUGUGAUUAAAUAACAUCAGCUGUGCUAGGAGUGUGGCAGGGAGAGCAGGUGGAUCCUGCCAAGCCAGCGAAAACCAGCAUUUCCUCUGAGAAGAAACACAGCUGCAAGUGGUGUGGAGCUUCCUCCCACUGCAGGAGAGGUGAUGGGGCAGCAGGUGGCUCAGGAGCUCUGCUGUCAUGCCUCUGGUGACAUUGCGUGUCAGGCUGCUACUGAGGCUGGGCAAGUGUGCUUGUCCCCAGUCCUGCGGGGGAGCUGAGGGGAGCACAGAGGCAUGCAAAAUCCUGAAGGAAUGUACAAAAUACCUGCUGGCUAAGAAAGCUGUGCACAGUAAAAUCUUGCUGGACUGCCUGGCCUUUAGAGGCUGUUCUGUAAACAAGGUUGCUUGAGCCUAUUUUUUGGAAGGAGCUAGAAACUCUGGUUUAUCUGAAACUUGCUGCUGAGUAAACAUUCUUGAAGACAGACCGAUGGAAAUGAAGUAGUUGCAACUCGGGUGCAGUGACCUUGGUGCUGGUUGUUCUGGUCUGUGGUUUUGGUUUGCCGUCUUGCAGUAUGUUAUCUGAGCCAUCCAGGCUGUCAGGUCAAUUAGCGGGUGCUGCUCUAAGUGCUGCUUUCCUGCCCUGAAAAGCCAGGCACCAGGGCUUGCCCCGUGGCUCUGGUAAGGCUCGAGGCAGCGUGUCAUGUGUGGGGAGAGGUGCUGCUGCAGCAGGUCGCUGAGGGGGCCGCCGCCACACGCUCACCCCAGCUGUCGCAGGGAGGCGGUUACGUGAGGGCUGCCUCCUCAUGGCUGAGCUCCAUCGGUGAGCUUCGACAGAAGUGGGAACAAGCCUGCUGAGAGGCCUCGGUGCCACCAUUAUUUUUCCCUCUGGCAUCUCUGGAAGAGCCUUGAGACGUGAAACCGCUAUGGUGUCUGUUUUUCCCUUAUAUGUAACUCUCCUGAUAAAGGCUGUAUGUGACCUUUUCUUUCUUGUUGUUCUCUGUCAGAGGAAAAGAAGCCUGCCUGGCCUUGGGUUAAUGCUUUUCCUUGCUCAAAUCCUGUUUUUCUAAAGUUCUCACUGAAACACUCACAUUGUUUUUAGGACAAAAAUAUAAAGCCCAAAUAUGCACUGGCGACAUACAAACAAGGCGUUUCCUUGAAGCGAUGAGAGGCUGCGUGGCACUGCCAGCGAGCCCUAGGCUGGUGCCAGGGCUUCAUCGCUGGGCAGUGGCUGCUCUGCCGGGCACAUUCCUCCCUCCCUUCAGGAUAAGCACUGUGUGAGAGCCCUCUUAAAGCAGAACCUCUCGUAUUUAGCUCCCCUCCUUCCUGUAAUAACAAAUGGGGGAGAUUGUGUAACUUGCCGCUGGCUGCCAACGUCUCUCUCAGAGGUUUACAGAAAACUUGCUCAUGGUUUAUUGUCAUUGCUGUGCCUGACUGGAAAUGAAGUCAAAUGCCAGCUUCAAAGCGAGCUGCUUGGUGUUACUCUGUUUGAUACUUUUCCCCUGCAUGCCUCUUCUCCUUGGGUUGCUGUCUCGAGAUCACAGCACUGACGGUUGUUUCUCUUUUGAGGUUUCAUGAACAACUGCACGGGCAGGAAAGGCUCUUUCCAUACAUGCGUGCCACACAGUGCUUUCUGUUGUGCGUGACACUGAGCAUAAACCAGGCCUGGCUUUUGGUUGUGCCCUCAGUGCAUGGCUUCACGGGAGCUGAGCUCUCCUCCCCAGAUGAUCAGGAGAGCACCUCCAGUGCUCAGGUCAUGGUUGGUUGGCCACGAGUCUUUUUGGAGCUGUUUUGCGAUACCUGUGUCCACCAUGGAAGUGACAGUAAACGUAGGUUAAUGUCCUCUUUCUACUAACACCUUUCUUAAAAGUCCAAGGCUUGGAGCAGAAAGAGUCAGAAACAGAACCCUCUGUUUUUAGUUUGUGUCACUUUAAGGCUCUGCUGUGGUUGGGGCCAUCUGUGUUUGUCAGUUCCUUCUGUUAACCAAAAAUCCCAAGCUGAGGAAAACGAAAACCUGCCUUGCAGUUGUAGUGAGAUGGAAUUGGCCAUGGGCUGUGGCAGAGUCAGACAGAAUUCCUGCCUGGAUAAAAACUGACUAUUUGAGUAACUUGCAGCAAGAAUUUGACUGCGAAGCUGGCUCGCUUCAUCGCGCUGCCUUCAGAUGUUUGUACGCUGUGCUGAGUCAGCACCAUGCUCUGGGGUUUGUGGUGUUCCUUGGCUGUGCCUCAGGGAUGGCUGAGCACACAUUUCUCACUAAAGCUCUUUGAUCCUUUGUGUUUGGUUUAUUCACAGUUCAAAUCUCCCUGUUACCUUUCAUUCUGCUUUUGUGACCAGCUGCUGCAGUAGUGUCUCUUCUUCCUUCCCAUGGAUUUUGGAGAGCUGAUGUGGAUUUCACCAUGGCAUAGCCAUAACUCUGUUUUUCUGUCACUUUGCUGGAAAAUCCCCAGCAGGUCUGAUGUUAACAUUUGAGUUUUGUUUUCCUUGUUCAGUGCACCAAUGUACUUCCUGUUCCUGACAGCUAUGGGGACUGUCCUCUGCCUUGUGUGCCCAGCUGAAAAGCAAUGAUUUUUUUGAGGGCCAAAAAUCUCUUGCAUUUUUCUUAAAGUGACUGGGUUCCAGGUUUGACUCAAGGAACAGAAAGACCAGCUUUCAGCUAGUCUCAUUUCCUGAACUAGGUUACCCCAGUGUCAGGUAAGUGCACGGUUGGUGCAUGGUGGGGAUGGUUGUGCAGUGCUGAGCUAUGUGGGUUUUGACACCUUCAGACAGUAGUCUGAACAAGGAAAUUCUUCUUGUAGCUGAUCCCCACACAUCACAUUUAGGAGUCUUUUAGGAAGAUGUGACUCCACAAAUCCCCCACCUGUAUGUGUUUUUUUUUUGAACUGAGCAUUCAGGCUGCCUGGUCUCCUUCCUGCUGGGUUUGCAGACUUUAAUGAAUUCUUGAAUUCCUGCUAACAGAUUUAUUUAGCUAAAAAAAAAAAAAAAAAAGGAAGAAAAAAAAAAAGGAAAUGCCCCAUUAAUGCACUGGAGAUAGAAUCAGGCUGGAAAACUUCAAGACGGACUGCUGUAAUAGCACAGCCCAUGAUGUAAAACCCAUGUGUUCAGCAGGCCAGAUGCCAGGAGUCCCAGGCUCUAAUCCCAGUGCUGAGGCUCCCAAGCUUGGGUAAUAAAAUUAAAGGAGAAGAGAAAGAAAAAGAGG